rnacentral:rRNA from 1 species
AGAGUUUGAUCCUGGCUCAGGAUGAACGCUGGCGGCGUGCUUAACACAUGCAAGUCGAACGAACCUUCGGGUUAGUGGCGGACGGGUGAGUAACGCGUGGGAAUCUGCCCUCAGGAGGGGGAUAACGGUUGGAAACGGCCGCUAAUACCCCAUAUGCCGAGAGGUGAAAUGAAUUUCGCCUGAGGAUGAGCCCGCGUCUGAUUAGCUAGUUGGUGAGGUAAGAGCUCACCAAGGCAUCGAUCAGUAGCUGGUCUGAGAGGAUGAUCAGCCACACUGGGACUGAGACACGGCCCAGACUCCUACGGGAGGCAGCAGUGGGGAAUUUUCCGCAAUGGGCGAAAGCCUGACGGAGCAACGCCGCGUGAGGGAUGAAGGCCUCUGGGCUGUAAACCUCUUUUAUCAAGGAAGAAGAUCUGACGGUACUUGAUGAAUAAGCCACGGCUAAUUCCGUGCCAGCAGCCGCGGUAAUACGGGAGUGGCAAGCGUUAUCCGGAAUUAUUGGGCGUAAAGCGUCCGCAGGCGGCCCUACAAGUCUGCUGUUAAAAAGUGGAGCUUAACUCCAUCAUGGCAGUGGAAACUGUUGGGCUUGAGUGUGGUAGGGGCAGAGGGAAUUCCCGGUGUAGCGGUGAAAUGCGUAGAUAUCGGGAAGAACACCAGUGGCGAAAGGCGCUCUGCUGGGCCAUCACUGACGCUCAUGGACGAAAGCCAGGGGAGCGAAAGGGAUUAGAUACCCCUGUAGUCCUGGCGUAAACGAUGAACACUAGGUGUCGGGGGAAUCGACCCCUCCGGUGUCGUAGCCAACGCGUUAAGUGUUCCGCCUGGGGAGUACGCACGCAAGUGUGAAACUCAAAGGAAUUGACGGGGGCCCGCACAAGCGGUGGAGUAUGUGGUUUAAUUCGAUGCAACGCGAAGAACCUUACCAGGGUUUGACAUCCUGCGAAUCUCUUGGAAACUUGAGAGUGCCUUCGGGAGCGCAGUGACAGGUGGUGCAUGGCUGUCGUCAGCUCGUGUCGUGAGAUGUUGGGUUAAGUCCCGCAACGAGCGCAACCCACGUCUUUAGUUGCCAGCAUUUAGUUGGGCACUCUAGAGAGACCGCCGGUGAUAAACCGGAGGAAGGUGUGGAUGACGUCAAGUCAUCAUGCCCCUUACAUCCUGGGCUACACACGUACUACAAUGCUACGGACAAAGGGCAGCAAGUUCGCGAGGACAAGCAAAUCCCAUAAACCGUGGCUCAGUUCAGAUCGUAGGCUGCAACUCGCCUACGUGAAGGAGGAAUCGCUAGUAAUCGCAGGUCAGCAUACUGCGGUGAAUACGUUCCCGGGCCUUGUACACACCGCCCGUCACACCAUGGAAGUUGGCCACGCCCGAAGCCGUUACUCCAACCCUUGUGGAGGAGGACGUCGAAGGUGGGGCUGAUGACUGGGGUGAAGUCGUAACAAGGUACCGUA